UCACAUCAUGAAGCCACUGCCACUUCCAGGAACACGAGUCCCUGGCCUUGGGAAAGGGAUAACAACAAGACUACUCACCUGUACUUGUUCCUUGACCUUGCAUCUAGUCUCGAUCUAGUCCAGAUCCGCUUAUGUCACUCAAAUCAGAUCUCGAUCUCUACAUGAUUGCGCUUCACAAGAGUGUGCCCAUCCGAUACACUGCUCCCCUGAUCCGCUGCAUCAUCCGUGGGGUCAUGCACUCUGGAUUCUGCGUAUCCACAAAGUUCCAAAUGCGGAACCCACGAUCCUCUCCGAGACGCGUCGCGAGUCGCGACGAUUAUCGAUCAUGUCGCCUUGCAUGGUAUCCCCUUGAAAAGCUGUACACUCGCAAGUCGUAUUGCCAGUUUCUUCUGUUGAAUUUGAAGUGAUCGGCUUCUUCUUUCUGCAACCAUGCUGAAGUACGUCCUCCUUCUCGCCGUCCUGGGCUGCGCUGUCGCCAAGAUCUGUCCUGGUGGUCUACGCCAGUGCCCUGAUUAUGAGACGUGCUGCAUGACAACGACGGGCCAAUACGCCUGCUGCUCAUUCGCUCACGCGAGCUGCUGCGCCGACCUGGAGCACUGCUGUCCCCAUGGUUACUGGUGCCAUGUGUCCAAUGGGACAUGCGUGAAGAACUCACCAGACGGCUCCGUCCACACCGUCGAGAUGGGCAAGCACCGCGACGCAGAGCCUUACGUCAUGUCUGAAGAGGAGAAGGAGGCGCAUGCUUUCGCCGACGACAGCAGUGAGCAUCAGCAUGAAAGACUACACCAUAAAAGGCCACACCACGAAGGCCGUCAUCAUAACUCCCCACGGGCAAACGGCAAGGGGCGCCACAGCCACGGAAAACACAGUGUUUAGCGUUCUGCUCUCUAUACAAAUGUGCGGCCAUUCAUAACUAACGUUUAUAACUUCAUCUUUAUCUGCCCCAUUUCUCGUUGCCUCCUCCUCAGUCCUUGAACGUUCCUUUCCUUCUCGUCUCUCUUAGUUACAUCAUGCCAGCUUUCAGUACUCAUCUUGAUCAGUUGAUAGAUUGAUUGCUGUGGUCGUGUUUGGUCAUAAUAUUUAUUUUGAGAAACAAUUGGCAUUGCCAUAUCAUG